GAAAGAAAUAAAGGAGAGAAGCGGUCUGAAGCCGCCAUGUCAUUCCCACACCAGGCUGAAUACCAUGGCUAUAAAAACAUUAAGUUCAGCAGUCUGCUCACUCAAUGUUCCCAAUGAGAAGUUCAGGAGAUCUUCUGGAGGCUGGAGAAAAUCUGCUGCAAAGGAUCAUGUGACAGAUCGCUUGUUAAAGAGGAACACAGUCAGCAGGACCUGGGUUUGCAGGAAUUCUGCUGCUGGGAGAGGGAUUCCUUUCCGAACACAGGUUCCCAGACGGGAGGCUAGAGCAGGAUUUUCGCGGAGUCGACGCUGGCAAGGUCUGAAGCUGCCCCCUUCUGCUGGCGAUUGGCACACGGGCAAACGCUGAGUUCAUCUCACCCGGUGCCGCCGACAGCCCGACAGGAAGCAUUCUCUAACAAACCCCCCCCCCAUGUGAUGCAUCAUUCUGUCACUGCUGUCGGAGGUGCA